GAUGAACGCUGGCGGCGUGCCUAAUACAUGCAAGUCGAGCGAACGGACGAUAAGCUUGCUUCUCUGAUGUUAGCGGCUGACGGGUGAGUAACACGUGGAUAACCUACCUAUAAGACUGGGAUAACUUCGGGAAACAGGAGCUAAUACCGGAGCAUAUUUUGAACCGCAUGGUUCAAAAGUGCAUGACGGUCUUGCUGUCACUUAUAGAUGGAUCCGCGCUGCAUUAGCUAGUUGGUAAGGUAACGGCUUACCAAGGCAACGAUGCAUAGCCGACCUGAGAGGAUGAUCGGCCACACUGGAACUGAGACACGGUCCAGACUCCUACGGGAGGCAGCAGUAGGGAAUAUUCCGCAAUGGGCGAAAGCCUGACGGAGCAACGCCGCGUGAGUGAUGAAGGUCUUCGGAUCGUAAAACUCUUUUAUUAGGGAAGAACAGAUGUGGAAGUAAAUGUGCACAUCUUGACGGUACCUAAUCAGAAAGCAACGGCUAACUACGUG
rnacentral:rRNA from 1 species